CCUACGGGAGGCUGCAGUGGGGAAUAUUGGACAAUGGGCGAAAGCCUGAUCCAGCCAUGCCGCGUGUGUGAAGAAGGCCUUCGGGUUGUAAAGCACUUUCAGUGGGGAAGAAAGCCUUGGGGCUAAUACCCUCGAGGAAGGACAUCACCCACAGAAGAAGCACCGGCUAACUCCGUGCCAGCAGCCGCGGUAAUACGGAGGGUGCGAGCGUUAAUCGGAAUUACUGGGCGUAAAGCGCGCGUAGGCGGUCUGAUAAGCCGGUUGUGAAAGCCCCGGGCUCAACCUGGGAACGGCAUCCGGAACUGUCAGGCUAGAGUGCAGGAGAGGAAGGUAGAAUUCCCGGUGUAGCGGUGAAAUGCGUAGAGAUCGGGAGGAAUACCAGUGGCGAAGGCGGCCUUCUGGACUGACACUGACGCUGAGGUGCGAAAGCGUGGGUAGCAAACAGGAUUAGAUACCCGGGUAUC
rnacentral:rRNA from 1 species